UAAGGUGGACCCAGUCACUGUCAUGCCAAGACGGGAUCUUCAUUCUCAAACGGACGUGGAAUUCAGCGGCGGCUUGGGUAAUGGCUGCAGGAAUUUGAUGAUGUGUCCGUACAAAGAAUUCAGCUUGCAGAUCGCUGAUAAAGAACGCCCCGUAAUACAGAAUCAUCCGGAUUUGUUGCGGUAAGCUUGCGAACACGCCAUGGUAGUCCUAGAUUCUCUGAGAUCACCGUUCCAAAUUUAUCAGCGAUCCAAGUAUCGAAGCUGAUGUUUCCACAAGGCAGUGGAAGAAUAUCCAUCCCCCUCGGUGGACAAGUGGCAGUGGGCUGGUCACUCACUACUCACAAAUGCGCACUUCAAAGACUAAGAAACCUCCGAAGAGAGGUGGCCAAGACCGGAAGAAAUACGAGGUGCGAUCGGAAAGUUUCAAGACUGCGCCUAUAAAAAAAA